UGUAGGUGCUCCUCCUAAACUUCGGAGAUAAAUUGCAGCCCGCGGCCUCUUCUACUGCACACCCAAGGGUGACAAGCUCCACUGACUAGCAUCUUAGAUGCCCCUCGGCCACAUCGUCGCGUGAGUAAGCUUCAACCGAAUAAAUCUAGAAGGGGAGCUGGCCAUGGAAUUCGGAAGGACAAAGACUCAAGAACAGAUAUUUUCAACGAAGAACCGCCAAAGCCUAAGGCAUGUUACAUUGGUACCCAAUAAAAAUUUGAUUACGUCAUACCAGAUAUGAGUGACUAAUCCAGUCAUCCAGAUGACUUCAAUGCAAAUAGAUAGUCUUUGUGAAGGGAGUUAGCAUACAAGGACGUGGGAGACAAAUAAAGGCAACUCGUGUGAAGGAAGCUUGGCCGAGCUGUGGCCAUGGUGGUGGUGUGCCUCUCUUCCCAGGCUGAUUUCAAGAGCACACAAAAUCUCUUUUGUAUUAGAUGCUUCUAUUUAACU